AGGGGCAUAGCCAAGCGGUAAGGCAACGGAUUUUGAUUCCGUGUACCGAAGGUUCGAAUCCUUCUGCCCCUGCCA
rnacentral:tRNA from 1 species